rnacentral:rRNA from 1 species
GAUGAACGCUAGCGGCAGGCCUAAUACAUGCAAGUCGGACGGGAUUUGGGAGCUUGCUCCUAAUGAGAGUGGCGCACGGGUGCGUAACACGUAUGUAACCUACCUUAAUCAGGGGGAUAGCCUCUCGAAAGAGAGAUUAACACCGCAUAAUAUAUUUUUAUGGCAUCGUAGAAAUAUCAAAUAUUUAUAGGAUUAAGAUGGGCAUGCGGAACAUUAGCUAGUUGGUAAGGUAACGGCUUACCAAGGCUACGAUGUUUAGGGGAUCUGAGAGGAUGACCCCCCACACUGGUACUGAGACACGGACCAGACUCCUACGGGAGGCAGCAGUAAGGAAUAUUGGUCAAUGGGCGCAAGCCUGAACCAGCCAUGCCGCGUGCAGGAAGACGGCCCUAUGGGUUGUAAACUGCCUUUGUACCGGAAUAAACCCUUUUACGUGUAGAAGGCUGAAUGUACGGUAAGAAUAAGUCUCGGCUAACUACGUGCCAGCCGCCGCAGUAA